ensembl:lncRNA
AAUUUUACUCUAAUUCUUCGCCAUGAAAGAUCUGUUUUAAAUGAAUAUUUUAAAUAGAGAAAUAUAGAAUUUUUUUUUGUGGAUUUAUUCCUGUAUGCAGUGUACGAGCUUCAGUCUGAAGGAUGCCAUCAGAUCACCGCAAGGUGAAUGGGGGCCUGAGUGAUAGACCGAGAACCUUUCAUCUCACCCAGUGAGUGUAAAUAGCUGUCAUGUUUGAUUGGCGGUUUGACGUGCACGUGAUGCCCUGGAAGAGGGGAAGAAAUUCAGUGAGGACGCAGUGCAUGAUGGUUUCUCUGUCUGCAAACUAAAGAGGUUGUUUGUGCCAGCAGAAACCAUUCAUGAAAGAUGCACCCCUGAGGCUUACAGAGGUAUACUCCAUCAUCUGCUAAGCAGGCUGGUUCCGGAGGGGCAAAUAAGAGCUGCUUCAAUGACAGUCUAAUUGUAGCCCACAUUCCCUCCAUGGUCUCUGGGGAGGGUUGCUGCUGGUCCACAAAGCUCUCAGGCCAUGCUAAGUCCCCGGAUGCUUCCACGGGUCUGCCGCUUCCAUCCUGCUGUAGGCUCAGUGAAGAAGGUGUUGACCCUGGUGACCUGAGCCUGCUUCCAUUGGGUAAUAGGAAAUGGCACUGACCCCUCCUGAUCCCCCCGAUUACCUUCGUGAAGCGUGAAUGUGGUAUGGAAUCACACAUCAGGAGACGAGUUGUAAUUAUUUCUGCGAUGCCAUCAGCAUGGAUCAAUCACUCAGGGAGGCUGCGAGUGGAACGCCGCUCGCAGCCAUAGAUGGAGCCAGCAGCGACCAUCUUUGACUGACAGCUUUGGUAAUUAAGUGAUUGUAUAGACCCCUCCGACUGUUAUAACAACCUUGUCAGGGCCAGCCUGUGUUUGGAACACACUCAAAUCAAUGUGUUCUCCACUCCCUAAGCAUUUCUGAUCAUGUACCUCAGACAGAAGAACUCUUUGCAUUGACGCUGCUUUCCUUUAAUAAUUGACAUGGCAGUAAAAGAGAUUUUAAAACACAAAAUAUAUAAUAUAAAAAAUAUACUUAACAUUACCAUUUUAUCAUAUUUUUUUCUCAUAGGAGGCC